rnacentral:rRNA from 1 species
GACGAACGCUGGCGGCGUGCCUAAUACAUGCAAGUAGAACGCACAGUUUAUACCGUAGCUUGCUACACCAUAGACUGUGAGUUGCGAACGGGUGAGUAACGCGUAGGUAACCUGCCUGGUAGCGGGGGAUAACUAUUGGAAACGAUAGCUAAUACCGCAUAAUAUUAAUUAUUGCAUGAUAAUUGAUUGAAAGAUGCAACUGCAUCACUACCAGAUGGACCUGCGUUGUAUUAGCUAGUAGGUGAGGUAACGGCUCACCUAGGCGACGAUACAUAGCCGACCUGAGAGGGUGAUCGGCCACACUGGGACUGAGACACGGCCCAGACUCCUACGGGAGGCAGCAGUAGGGAAUCUUCGGCAAUGGACGAAAGUCUGACCGAGCAACGCCGCGUGAGUGCAGAAGGUUUUCGGAUCGUAAAGCUCUGUUGUAAGAGAAGAACGGGUGUGAGAGUGGAAAGUUCACACUGUGACGGUAUCUUACCAGAAAGGGACGGCUAACUACGUG